ACGAACCUGUGACCUCCCGCUCAUAGUGGCAGCGCAUUAGACCGCUGGACCACUCGGCGCCCUGGGCAGGUAAUCUAAGCUCUAAUAUUAAUAUAUAUCGAAACCGUACCGAUACCGUGGCCCAAAAACCGCUCUAAUGAAGUGUCAACCGGUGGAUUAAAUGUAAUGUGGUGCCCAUGUACAACUUCCGGCGCCGACGCGAGUGGCUGCCUGUUCCAGUAACUCCGUCUCCUUUGUGUGUUUUUUUUUCUUCAAGUUUUUUACGUUUAUUUAUCGUCUCUGUGCUACUACACACAUCUAGUGUGCAUCUUAUUUAUAUCCUAAGGAUAUUUUAAUCGUAAGCAUGCGGGGCAGCAAGGAAUAUCGGGUUUAUUCCCGUGAAGAACUGCUGGCUCUACGACCCGCGGGACGUGGGGGCAUUGUUCACACAAUCCUGGGGAAACUGAGAAGGAAAUACCGCGGUUGCAGGGCCGGAGCUAAGCUAAAGGCUAAGCUAACGGCUAAGAGGACGGAGAAGCGCUGGAGGUACAAACCCUCAGUUCCGUCGGUGGUUAUGGGGAAUGUAAACUCACUGACCAACAAAACCGACGAGGUAGCCUGUCUGGUGAAGAAUCAGAAGCUCUACAGGGAGUGUAGCGUGCUGUGUUUCACCGAGACCUGGCUCACCCCCGACACGCCGGAUGCUAACGUGGAGCUACCCGGCUUCUCUACAGUGAGAGCGGACAGGGACCCGGCGCUAUGCGGCAAGCGGAAAGGUGGGGGGAUCGCGCUCUUCAUUAACAACAGAUGGUGCAACCCUGGACAUGUAAACGUGAAGGAGGUGAUCUGCUGUCAGGAUAUUGAACUUUUAGCGGUGAGUCUCCGACCUUAUUACAUGCCGCGGGAGCUUUCUCACACGAUCCUCGUCUGUGUUUACAUUCAGCCGAGAGCGGACGUGCAGGCGGCGUGUGACGUCAUCCACUCCACCGUCGCAGCGCUGCAGACCCAGUACCCUGACGCCUUCUAUGUGAUUACUGGAGAUUUUAUUCACGUAACGCUGGACUCUACCCUGCCUGCCUUUUUCCAGUUUGUGGACUGUCCAACCAGGAAUAACAGAACCAUAAACUUGCUGUAUGCUAAUUUGAAGGAUGCAUACAGGGCUAUUCCACUACCACCGCUGGGGAAAUCAGAUCACAACCUGGUCUUCCUGCAGCCUCAGUACAAACCACUGGUACUGAGGCAGCCCACUACCACACGCUCAUUCAGAGUCUGGUCUCCUGAAGCAGAGGAAGCCCUAAGGGACUGCUAUGACACCACUGACUGGAGCGUGCUGCUGCACCCACAUGGCGAGGACAUUGAGGGGGUGACUCACUGUGUUACAGACUACUUGAAUUCCUGUAUGGAUGUUGCUGUUACCACAAAGACUGUAUGCUGCUUUCCAAACAACAAACCCUGGAUUACCAGUACCGUCAAGGACCUCCUCAACCAAAAGAAGAGGGCGUUCAAAGAUGGAAAUCUGGUAGAGCUAAAGCGCGUACAGAGGGAACUCAAGGUACGUCUUAAAGAGGCCAAGGAGUCUUACAGGAAAAAGGUGGAAAGAAAGCUGCAAGAUAACAACAUGAAGGAGGUCUGGGGUGCUAUGAAAACCAUCACUGGGUGCAAGAACAACAACGGCAAUCCAGUAGAUGGGGGUGUGGACAGAGCAAACCAGUUUAACAACUUUUACAACAGAACCAAGAAACUGCAACAAGUUUUUUUCAAGUUCUUGCCACCAUCUACAGGGAUGAGAGAGAAUAUUCAAGGAAGAUCUAUGAUGUUGGCAACACUGAGCAUCUUAUUGAAACAGCAUCGGCAGAACAACUUGGAUAUGUUGUUGUGAGAAUUCUAAAAUUCAACCCACAAUUUCAGGAAUUUAUUGACGUAGAUAGGAAUGUAGACAUCAGGAACUUAGAUAGAUUCCAGCUGUUCUUAUCAUGCAAAGAGACUGAAUCAUCUCAACCUAUGGCCACUUCAGUGUCCCAAGCUCAGCAUACUCAAGUUUCACAAGAGCAUGAAAAACUGUGGUCCAUUUUGGAAAAGAAAGCAACAAAGACACUUGAUGAACUCAAAACCAAAGGCACUGUGACAGAAAAAGCAAGAAUAAAGCUUGUUAAAGUGUGCGGAUCUGACCUGGUGGAAAAGCAUGGAUUUACUGAAAAAGUGGCUCUAGCAAAGAACAUCAUCGCUGUCUUCCCUGAGAGUCCAGGUGGAUGGAAACGGGGAAGGAUUUGAGCACUUUUACGAUCCAGAUUCUCAUUCUGGAUUUUUGGAAAUGAGACUGCGAAACAUUCGUCGAAAGCUAGAAGAUGGUCAGCGGCGUUAUAGGUCACACAAACGACGCUGUGAAGAUGGUCCUAAUCCGGACAAGGAGGAGGAAGAUGGUAGUGGGACAAGUGAGUGGAUCAACUUGAUGAAAAGGCUCAGGCCUUCUACAGACAACAUUUCAUCGAUCAAAGCAGCAAUGCAGAAAACCUUCACCUGGCGCAGAUCAUGGAUAGCCAAACAUUCCCCCUCCCUGUCUGAAAUCUUUGAGGAAUACCUACGCUUCUUGGAUAUGCCAACUCUGCUUGAUACAGAGUUUGGUAAAAUGUUUGAGGGAAAAGGAGAUUUGUUCUUAAGAAGAUGGGAGGCUACCAUCAUUCCCAAGUUGAAGGCAAUUGCCAUCAUGGAGACAGGUGAUCUUGCAUCUCUUAAGGACAUGGAAAACCAGAAUGAAGAUGAGAAGUGUUACACUAUGCUUGUAGUCCUUACACAUCUUCUGCCACCAGUUGCAAUGAGUCGAU